GUAUCAGAUAGCUCAGUCGGUAGAACAUGGGACUCUUAAUCUCGGAGUUGUAGGUUUGAGCCCCACCUUGAGCA